GACGAACGCUGGCGGCGUGCUUAACACAUGCAAGUCGAACGGAAAGGCCCUGCUUUUGUGGGGUGCUCGAGUGGCGAACGGGGGAGUAACACGUGAGUAACCUGCCCUUGACUUUGGGAUAACUUCAGGAAACUGGAGCUAAUACCGGAUAGGAGCUCCUGCUGCAUGGUGGGGGUUGGAAAGUUUCGGCGGUUGGGGAUGGACUAGCCGCUUAUCAGCUUGUUGGGUGGGUAGUGGCUUACCAAGGCUUUGAGGGGUAGCCGGCCUGGGAGGAUGAGCGGCCACACUGGGACUGAGAUGAGGCCCAGACUACUACGGGAGGCAGCAGUGGGGAAUAUUGCACAAUGGGCGGAAGGAUGAUGCAGCACAGCCGCGUGGGGGAUGAGGGGCUUCGGUUAGUAAACCAAUUCCGCCUGUGACGGAGUGUGAGUGACGGUAAUGGGUGAAGAAGCACCGGCUAACUACGUG
rnacentral:rRNA from 1 species